GAAACAUCCCUAUGGAGCAGGACUUGCUUCAGUGGGAUCUUGUUGCUCACUGAGUCUGCCCCUUGAGUGUGUCGUU
rnacentral:pre_miRNA from 1 species